rnacentral:rRNA from 1 species
UACGUAGGGUGCGAGCGUUAAUCGGAAUUACUGGGCGUAAAGCGUGCGCAGGCGGUUCGUUGUGUCGGCGGUGAAAGCCCCGGGCUCAACCUGGGAAUGGCCGUUGAAACUGGCGAACUGGAGUGUGGCAGAGGGGGGUGGAAUUCCGCGUGGAGCAGUGAAAUGCGUAGAGAUGCGGAGGAACACCGAUGGCGAAGGCAGCCCCCUGGGCUGACACUGACGCUCAGGCACGAAAGCGUGGGGAGCAAACAGG